rnacentral:rRNA from 1 species
AUGGCCGCCGGCAGCUUGGCGAUGCCCGCGCUACUCGUGGCGCUGCUGGCCUGCGCCGCCGCCCGGACGGCCGUCGCCGCCGGUCAGUCCUUCUUCUUGUCCUAUGGCUUCUUCCUCAGUUUCAGGUGCAGGUGGAAGAGAGAGAUACGGUGUGGCGGCACCGGCGCGGCGUGCGUCGGGGCGCUCUGCGGCAUGGGCACCUGCAAGGAGCUGCAGGGGAACAUCCCGUUGGGCUACGAGUGCGAGUGCGACCCCGGGUGGUCUCGGCCCAACUUCACCUUCCCUCCCCCCUUGCCGCCACACCUGUUUCUGCCCUGCGCCGUCCCCACCUGCCUAUCGAUAUCGGAGUUCACCUGCUACAGGCCCAAGCCGCCAAAUCCCGCCAACGCAACCGUACUUGACCCGUGUAGGUGCCACCGACGACAAGGGCUGCCCGGUUUCCACCCCUACGACGACACCGGCGCCGCCUUCGCCAUCGUCGUCGACGGCGCCACCACCUGGCUCUGUUUCGUUGGGGAAUCGGCUGCGGCUGUCGCUGCUGCUGGCCUCCCUCGCCGCGCUUCACGCUGUAAUUGUGUGAUCAAGUGGCAGUACGCUGUGGCCUGUGACACGGACGUGCACGGAUCAGGACACGCCACGUCCCCCGCCAUCAACCUCCUCCUCUCGUCCAAGCCGCUCCGGCGAUGCGCGCCUCACCCCGAGCAGCACCACUCGGGCCGCUUGCCUUGCCGACCGCCGCUCGCUCCGGAUGUGGACGCCCGCAACCCCGCUGCCCUGGAUCCGGUGCCCAGGACCCGUACGGCGUCCGCAUCGGCCGCCGGCGUCCACACCCCACGGAGCCCACAACAGCUCCUCCCCCAUCCGCGGUCGCCGCCGACCACCAUUCUCAUGGCCAGAGACCACUCGAAGCCCCACCACCUUGUCUGGGAGCACCGGAAUGCCUCCCUGAGCACGCCGUGGUCGUCUUAUUCACCUCCGACCACCAACGUGCCUCGAUCUCCUGCUCCGGUGAAUCCCUGCGCCUCGCAUCGAGUCCCUAGGCUUCGACAUGUCCUCUUGAUGCCUUCGCCGCCAACACCGGCAAGAUGCAAGUCCCCAAGCCGUCUUCCUCACCUCACCAUGCUUCGUCGGCCGCUGCCGUUCACGAGGACAUUGCUCCAGUGCUACCUCGCCGCGUCCGAGCACGCAUACGUGCUGAAGGUGAGCACCGCGCCCCUUCCCCGCGCCAUGGCGUGCUGUGCCUUCUUCAGUGACCAGAGGAUGAACGCACGGAAAGUGCUCGAUGGAAUGCCUGAUAGAAAGAAUGUUGUGAAGAAGAUGACCCUCUAUGAUACAAUCAACCCCAAGAAAGAGAGAAAUUACAACCGGGUGGUGCUUCGCUGGCCUGGCUGGAUCCGGGCGGAUCUGGCCCGUGGUGGUCCGGCUUGGGGAGGUGGUGUUGCUGGGUGGUGGAGGCGGGAGUGGUGGAGGCUGGUGGCGGUGAGUGUUGUUGGUGGUGCGAGGUGGGACUGCUGCAGCCAGUUUUGGAUCUCCCUCACCUUUGGUUGGUGUUGUGGCACUUCGGAUCUGGUCUCCGGCAGGUGCACGAUGGCGCACGUGGGGCGUGUUGGUGCUCUUGAUGUUUGGUUGCAGCUCGGAACCAUGGUGGUUCCUGGCUUCGGGCAGCGCUCCUCUGCUCCUCGCCGGCAUGGUGCUCGGUUAGGUUUGGCGGCUCGCGCUGCAUCCGGUGGCCCUGCGUUCGGACGGCCAUUGGUGGGUCCAUUGCCUAGUGCUGAUAUUUGGCCGUAUGCGGUCUCCGCGGGGUGCGUUGAGGUUGCAACGUUUGGUGGUGGUGGUGUGGCCAACUUGGGAUCGGUCAUAGGGUCCAAUGGUGGUGGUGGUGGUGCGACUGGCUUGGAGUCGACGAUAGUUGUUUGGUGGGGUUUUCUGGGGUUUGGUGGCGGUGCCUUGGGCGCCGCAGGGCGGCCAUCCAUUUCCCCCUUGUGA